rnacentral:rRNA from 1 species
CGGGAGCUUGCACAGGUGCUGCAUGGUCUGUCGUCAGCUCGUGUCGUGAGAUGUUCGGUUAAGUCCGCUAACGAGCGCAACCCUCGCUGUGUGUUAUAUGUGUCACACGGGACGUGCCGGUCUUUAAGCCGGAGGAAGGUGGGGAUGAUGUCAAGUCAGCAUGGCCUUUAUAUCCUCGGGCUACACACACGCUACAAUGGCCAACACAAUAGGUUGCUAAGCCGCGAGGUGGCGCCAAUCCAUAAAGUUGGUCUCAGUUCAGAUUGUAGGCUGCAACCCGCCUGCAUGAAGAUGGAGUUGCUAGUAACCGCAGGUCAGCUAUACUGCGGUCGAAUACGUUCCCGGGCCUU